rnacentral:rRNA from 1 species
UACGGGGGGGGCAAGCGUUGUUCGGAAUUACUGGGCGUAAAGAGCUCGUAGGCGGUUUGUCGCGUUGUUCGUGAAAACUCACAGCUUAACUGUGGGCGUGCGGGCGAUACGGGCAGACUGGAGUACUGCAGGGGAGACUGGAAUUCCUGGUGUAGCGGUGGAAUGCGCAGAUAUCAGGAGGAACACCAGUGGCGAAGGCGGCUUUCUGGCCUGUUCUUGACGCUGAGGCGCGAAAGCUAGGGGAGCAAACGGG